UACGUAGGGUGCAAGCGUUAAUCGGAAUUACUGGGCGUAAAGCGUGCGCAGGCGGUUUUGUAAGUCUGACGUGAAAUCCCCGGGCUUAACCUGGGAAUUGCGUUGGAGACUGCAAGGCUGGAGUCUGGCAGAGGGGGGUAGAAUUCCACGUGUAGCAGUGAAAUGCGUAGAGAUGUGGAGGGACACCGAUGGCGAAGGCAGCCCCCUGGGUCAAGACUGACGCUCAUGCACGAAAGCGUGGGGAGCAAACAGG
rnacentral:rRNA from 1 species